rnacentral:sRNA from 1 species
CAAACGGCCGGUUCUUGACAUGUCUUCACUCUUUG